rnacentral:rRNA from 1 species
AUACGGAGGGUGCGAGCGUUAAUCGGAAUUACUGGGCGUAAAGGGCACGUAGGCGGCUUAAUAAGUCAGAUGUGAAAGCCCCGGGCUUAACCUGGGAACUGCGUUUGAAACGGUUAGGCUAGAGUUUGAUAGAGGGGAGUGGAAUUUCCGGUGUAGCGGUGAAAUGCGUAGAGAUCGGAAGGAACACCAGUGGCGAAGGCGACUCCCUGGAUUAAAACUGACGCUGAGGUGCGAAAGCGUGGGUAGCAAACAGGAUUAGAAACCCCAGUAGUCC